rnacentral:snRNA from 1 species
GGAUUGAGGGUCUUCAGGCUAUGACAUCUGUCAGUGUUGAUGACCAGGGCUGACCUGGCUGGUCAGACUGUCUAGAUGGGUGUCACCUUUCCCCUCACUGCUCCAUGUGCAUCCCUCGCAAAGCUGCACUCAGUCAGAGACCUUCCCCAGUGGAGGUAGACCAUUCCAUGGCCAAGGGCUAUGCCUAACUAUGCUCCUCUGGUUGUUACGUCAUGUUUAUAAAUUACUAUUGAGGCUGAAAAUUUAUUAUAUUUAUUGACCUUU